rnacentral:rRNA from 1 species
UAACGCGUGGGUAACCUGCUNCNUACAGGGGGAUAACAGUUGGAAACGACUGCUAAUACCGCAUAAGCGCACAGGGUCGCAUGACCUGGUGUGAAAAACUCCGGUGGUAUGAGAUGGACCCGCGUCUGAUUAGCCAGUUGGUGGGGUAACGGCCUACCAAAGCGACGAUCAGUAGCCGACCUGAGAGGGUGACCGGCCACAUUGGGACUGAGACACGGCCCAAACUCCUACGGGAGGCAGCAGUGGGGAAUAUUGCACAAUGGGGGAAACCCUGAUGCAGCGACGCCGCGUGAGCGAAGAAGUAUUUCGGUAUGUAAAGCUUUNUNNNCAGGGAAGAAGAAAUGACGGUACCUGACUAAGAAGCACCGGCUAAAUACGUGCCAGCAGCCGCGGUAAUACGUAUGGUGCAAGCGUUAUCCGGAUUUACUGGGUGUAAAGGGAGCGCAGGCGGUACGGCAAGUCUGAUGUGAAAGCCCGGGGCUCAACCCCGGUACUGCAUUGGAAACUGUCGGACUAGAGUGUCGGAGGGGUAAGUGGAAUUCCUAGUGUAGCGGUGAAAUGCGUAGAUAUUAGGAGGAACACCAGUGGCGAAGGCGGCUUACUGGACGAUUACUGACGCUGAGGCUCGAAAGCGUGGGGAGCAAACAGGANUAGAUACCCUGGUAGNCCACGCCGUAACGAUGAAUACUAGGUGU